rnacentral:lncRNA from 1 species
AUCAGUACAUGAAAUAACAAAGCUCUCACUCUUAUAGUCUACAUAUCUCUUUCUCGUUUCUAAAUAACACACACAAAGAAUAGUAAUACAUACAUAUAUAUAUUUAUAGCUAAUACAGUUACAUCUAUCUCGACGUAUAUUUUACAACACGUUAUCAGCACGAGGCUCUGACCAACUGAAGUUUAAGUUCUUAAACCAGCUGAGGUAAUAUUUAAAUUUAUGUGUUUCAAUUUACUUAAUUUAUUUAAAUUUUAUUAUUGUUCUGGAGUGAGAGGCUAGGCCUUCUCUGUUUAUUUUUCGGGAUGAUAGGCGUUGCCUUUCCCGACUGAUUGUUAUGGUAGGCUAUGCCUUCACGAUCAGAAAAACACGUGGUAGGCUUGCCUCCGUGAAUUGAAAAAAAAAAGUUACGUGGAAGGCUUUGCCUCCGUAAAUAAAAAGAAAAGGUCAAAAAUAGUAGACUAAGUCUACUCGGACCUUGAAAUAAGUAAAAGUCAAAAUGGUAGACAAUGUCUCCUCGGACUUUGAAAAAUGAUCAAUAUGGUAGUGUAUGACUCUUCAGAUCAUGUGGUAGGCUGAGCCUCCCGAUUUUAUUUAUGCUAUUUAAAUUUCUACAACUUAAUUUAUGCAUUUAUUUUAUGUAUUUAAUUUCUGCAUUUAAAUUCUCGUCUUUAUUAUAAUAUUAUUCUAUGAAUAAUGUUUUCAUGUGAGUUUUGACAAAGCUCAAAAUAGAUGCUCUUGAUAUUACGAGAAAUAAUUAUAAGACUUGGGUAGUGGAUGCAAAGAUGCACCUGAGAGGUAAUGAGGUUUUUGAAAUCAUCGAUAUAAACUAUAUCGGAUGAGAAAAAGAUAAAGCCAUGAUAAUUUACACCACUUUAAUAAUAGUUUAUAAGAUGAGGUGUAUCAUGAGAAAAGAUCUAAAAGAUCUUUGAUAAAUAAAUCCUUGAAAGAAAGGAUUCACUAAAUAGUUGGAGUUCAUGUAAAUCCUCGGUGAAAACUGAAAAAAAAAUGGAAAUCAUGAUACUAGACCAUCAAGUUGGUCCUAUUAGAAAAGGACGAGGGUGUGGAUGCGGUUGAAACCGCUAUCGUGGUCGUGGAAGAGGGCGAGGAAGAAGGUUCCGUUCCUAUGAGAAUAAUGAGAACUUUCACGAAAAUGAAAGUGUUCGGGUGAUAAAAGGAAAACAAAAAAGGUUUGCUAUAGAUACGGCUAGAAAGAAAAUUGGGUAUGUAGUUGUCGUACGCCAAAUAUUUAGCCGAUUUGUAUCGUGAAUCAAAAAUAAAAAGAGAAAGGAAGUAUUUUAAACUUCAUCUCUUAUGACCCCGAACCAUCUUUCAUAACUUGAAUUCUCAUUUUGAUGAUUUAGAUUUUCUGGUUGGUCCAGAAAAUAAAAAUGAAAAGAUCGAUUUGAUAUGAAAAUUAUCUUCCUGAAUAAUAUUUUAAGAUUCAGGAUGGAAAUAGAUAUAUCUGGCAGAUAUUGAGUCAUCGUAUAUGACUACUAAAGGUAACACAUAUUUCUCCUCUCUCAAAAUAAAUAAGUAUAGUAUCUAGUAAUAUAAAAAUUAUUAUUGGCUCUAGAGGAGCUUAUGAUGAAAAGACAUGCAUAAGAAAAAGAUGGCAAAAUUAUAAAUGAAUCGUAAACCUGAAGUUUACUGAUAUAUAGCCAUCUCCAAUAAUGUUAUCGACGUUAUUGAGAAAUGUUGAAAAACCAGAAGUUUUUCACAUAUAGCAUGUCAAAAUAAGAAACGAAACCAUCAUGGGUGAUGAAUCAUCAAACAAGUUCACUAUAUGUGAUUUCUUUAAGCAGACCCCAAAUUAAGAUCUCACUCUAAAGCAUUUGAAACAUAAUUCAUCCCAAAUGGGAAAACUGAAUAUGUUAUUGGUUCUAGAGUGGGAUUCAGUACGAGAUUUUAGACAUGGAGUGUCAUCAUCUCGAGGGGGAGAAUUAAAGAAUCCUAGUGAGUGGAACAUUAAAAAAUCAUGUUUGCACUUGAAAAAGAACUUGAUAAAGUAAAUUUAAGUAAGAUGAUCCCCAUGAUCGGGUAUAAUGUAGUUGUGAAUGUAAUAAAGACAUAUAUAAUCCAGAGGGGUAAAGUAUAUGGAUAAUUAGAAAUAUGCUCGCAAGUUUGCUAGAAGCAUAUGAUAAACUGAUGGAAUGAGAUAUGUGAAAUGGAUUACAAUGAAAAGUAGAAUAAUCCAUUUACAAAAUGCCUGCCAGACAUUUUGAUGAAAUAAUGAAAUCUCAUAUUCUAGCUGAAAAAGCUCCAAUAAUAAAAUCUGUCCUAAAAGGAAGAUAUAUGAGUCUAUGGCACACUAGAAACGUGGUAGACCACUUUGGUUCCAAAGAGUCCUCGAAAAGAAGCAAAAAUAUGAAUAGAGGAUGAAUCUCAUGAUGAGACCGCUGAUAUGGUUAAUAUUACAGUUAGGUACAUGGGUAAAUCAUUAAUGAUGAUAAUGAGAUCUCGAUUAACCAUAUCAGUACGGGUAAAAAGAUGGAACCAAAGAGAAAAUAGAUUGUCGACAAUAAAAUGAAAAAGCGCUAUAUAAAUUAGGAUUAUGAAUCUACCUCUACGUAUGAGGGUAGAGUGAAUUGAUUGGCCAUCAAUUCGAUAUAAAGCCCGUUAGAAAAACGAGAAAGGUAUAUAUAUCUCCAGAGAAUGAAAUGAAAGAUGACCUUGAGGUAUGAAAAACGGCUUGUUCCAAGAUCACUGGAGAAAAUUUAAAAUAGAUGCAGUUUAUUGAAAUGUCUGGCAGGACAUAAACAGCUUGAAUUGCAUCUUGAUAUUUAGUAGUCCUUGGAGAGUUAAAGAUGCUCUCGGGAAUGUAUAAAACUCUGGAAGAGUUAGAACAAGCCGUAUAUAAGGUAUCUUGAACCGGUAACUGAUGAUAUGUUUACGGCACGUUUGCCGAUAGCCAUUUUAGUGAGGUUGAAUUUCCAGCGUUAGAGAGAGAAAUUAGAGAAAUUUCUAAAAAGAUUAUAUGGUGUACACAGUCAUUGGUACACCUUGAACCCCCCCCCCCCCCUCCCCCCCCCUAUGAAAAGAGAGAGCUGGAAGUUCAUAAAAUUGUGCAUUUGCAUAAUUUGGCAAAUUACCAAAUGUGUUCGCAAAUACGACAUGAUAUACCCGCUAAAAAUGUUAUAUCAAGAAUUAAUGUUCCUAAAGAACAAAAUGAUGGUAACAAAAUAAAUAAACCUAGGGUUCAGUUAAAGAGGGAGAGACCAGCGGGUUCUAUAGAUAAAAAUCCCCGAAAGAAAAAUAAAUUUGUUGAGCAAUGCAGAAAGGUUCGGGAAGAAGCUGAUAUUGAAAAAUGUCUGAAAGAAGGCAUCAGCGAAAAGGUUCAAGAAGAACCAAAUAAAUAUGAUCCAGAUGACGAGAAGGGAACAUAAAAGUAUGAGACUUCCAUCAACUACGUCCAAGAUGAAAAUUAUGGAUCUGAAAUAAGAUAAAAAGAUGUUGAUGGAAUGUUCUCCUUUUCUGUGCAAAGAGAUUGAUCAUAAAAGUGAUGAUCUCGAUCCUAGUUCCAUUUUGGAAUGUCAAAAAGACAUGAUUGGGAGGAGUGGCAGAAGGCCAUUCAAAUUGAAUUACUCUCCCUUACUAAAAUAAAUGUCUUUGGACCUAUAGUCACAAUGGCUGAGAAUAUAAAUUUUGUUGGGUAUAAGUGGGUAUUCGUGAGAAAAGUAACACAAUAUAAAGCCUGAUUGGUUGCCCAAGGAUUUUCUCAGAGUCCGGGAAUUGAUUUUGAGGAAACGUAUUCCCCAGUAAUGAAUGCAAUUACGUUUAGAUUUUUGAUGAGCCUAACGGCGUCUAAAAAUCUUGAAAUGCAUCUCAUGGACAUUGUGACUGCAUAUUUAAAUGGAUCGUGGGAUAACGAUAUAUAUAUAUGAAACUUCCUGAGGGAUUGAAAAUGCCAGGGGCAUUGGAAGAAAAAUCCAGGGAGAUUUGUUCGGUCAAGUUACAGUGAUAACUUUACGGAUUAAAGCAAUCCGGACGCAUGUGGUACAAUCGCUUAAGUGAGUAUCUUUUGAGUAAAAGAUAUGUAAAUAAUGUGAUAUGUCCAUGCGUUUUUAGAAAGAAAUCAUCAUCUGGCUUUGUGAUCAUUGAUGUAUAUGUAGACAACCUGAAUUUAAUUGGAACUCAAAAGGAGGUCUAUGAUGCUCGAACUCAUAUGAAAGAGAAAUUCGAAAUGAAAGAUAUCGGCAAAAAAAAGUUUUGUCUUGGGCUCCCGAUAGAGCAUCUCCGAGAAUGAAUAUGUGUGCAUAAAUCAAACUAUACGAAAAAGUUAUUGAAACCCUUUUAUAUGGACAAAACAACUCCUUUGAGUACUCCAAUGGUAAAUAGAUAUCUCGAUGUUAAAAGAGAUGUUGUUUUAAAAGAUCCUAGUAAGAUCUUAUAUAAAUAAGUACUUUGGAGAUGCUAAUGGUAAUAAAGCAUAUAUGAGCUUAUAUAUCUUGCGAGUUGUGUUUGAUUAAAUAUACUUUUAGACACUAAUGUCUUUGCGAGAUAUAACUCAUUUCCUAUUUAUGGAAAUCUGAACGGCGUCGAGAACAUAUCUGUUCUCUCCAAGGUACGUAUUGAUUUAGAAUUGAUUUAUCCUAGAAACCCCGAGUUUGGUAUGGUUUUGCAGAUAUAUGAUAUUUAUAAAGUCAAACACAAACCGGUUAUAUUUUUACAAUUGGUGGAACCGGAAUCUCUUGGCGGUCCCAAAUAUAAACUCUGGUUAUGACAUCUUCGAAUCAAGCAUAAAUUAUUGUGCUUCACGAAGUAUGUCGAGAAUGUGUGUGGCUUCGGUAAAUGAGUCACCACAUACAAGAGUCAAGUGGAACAGUUAACGAGAAAGAGUCGACGAAAGUAUUUGAAAAAAAUUUGGCUUGUGUUGCUUAACUCAAAGAAGGCUAUAUCAAGAGCGACAUAACAAAACACAUCCUUCCAAGAUUUUUCUCGUACAUAAGGGAAUUCGAGAAAAAGAAAGAGGUAGACAUCGAAUAUGUACAGUCAUGCGAUAAUCCGGCUGACUUGUUUACAAAAGCUCUUUCCACGAUAACAUUCCGUAAACACGUCUACGGUAUCAGAAUGCGGUAUUGUGUGACCUGUGACGAAAAAGCUAGGUCCACUAUUCUCAGGGGGAGAUUACGGCAGUGAACUUUUUUCCAUUGUCAUGGUUUUUGUCCCAAUGAAUUUUUCCAUGACAAAGAUUUUAACGAGGCACUACGUAAUACAAAAUAGAUAAUCAAUGGAGAGUGUUAAAGAUAAUGUUUGUGAUAAUCUAUUUAGAAGAUAAUGUUUCUCUUUCAUUUGUAAAGACAAGAUCAGUACAUGAAAUAAUAAAGCUCUCACUCUUAUAGUCUACAUAUCUCUUUCUCGUUUCUAAAUAACACACACAAAGAAUAGUAAUACAUAUAUAUAUCUUAUCUAUUAAAAUAGAAGUCAUGACUUAGUUCAUGUAUGAUUUUUUUAUUUGGACCACCCCUUAGAAAGUUGUUUAAAUUAUAUUUUUAUAAAUAUAUGAAUUUUUUUUAAUUAUUCUAAAACAAAAAAUCAAAUAGAUAUUCUUAUAUUUUCUCUGAAAUUUUAUAUAAAUAAAAUAUUUUCAUAUCUUUUUAUUUACAAUAUAAAUAUAUUAUUUAUUUUCAUUAAAAUAAACCUUUUAAAUAUUUAAUUAAUAUCAUAUUUAUUUAAAUAAAUGUAAAUUUCAUUUUUCACCUAAUAUUUUUUAUAAAAUAUUUUUUAAUUUCUUGUUUAUUUAAAAAUUUAAUGUAUAUUUCAUUUUCAAUAAAAAAAACGUUUUAAAUAUCUAAUUAAUUUUGUAAUUAUAACUAAAAUCAUGUAGAAUUUUGUAUUAAAUUUGUGAUAUUAAUUUAAUAUAAUACUUUUCAUCUAAAAUUUUGAUCUUUUACCAAUAAUAUAUUUCAAUUCAUUAUUUUGUAUCACAUAAUAUAAAAUAUGCUAUCAUAGAAAAUUAAAAAAAAAAGUUUAUUGUAUGUGUACUAUAAAAUUGUUGUAUUUUAAAAUAUUAUAUCAAAAAAUAUAACUGUAAAUAUUACAAUUAGUCACGUAAAGCAAAUAAUUAUGUGUUUGCAAAUAAAAAUAAUCACCCGCACGGUUGUGCGGAUCAAAAUCUAGUUUAUAUUUAUAGCUAAUACAGUUACAUCUAUCUCGACGUAUAUUUUACAACAAAAACAACAUAUAUCAUCUUUAUCUCUCUCUCUCUCUCGUUGAAUCCUUUUUCUCCAAACAUAAAAUAUAUCCAAACAUAUAUCAUCUUUUUUGGUAUAUCUAGAUAAUAGGUAGGAGCAUAAACUGAAACAUUCUGAAACUACAAAAAUAGUUAUUAAAUCGUUAGCACCACAUAAAAAUUAUAGCUAAAUAUCAAUAUAUUUAUAUCUAUAUUGAUAUUGCGUCCAAUAGGAUUUGAACCUAUACCAAAGGUACAUAAUAUAUAAAUACAGAUUUAUAUAUCCCUCACUAUUACAUAUGAGCUAAUAGUUUACAACAAAUCUAAGUUUUUUUACAUUAGCAACAGAUUUUAGGAAAAGCGAAUACACUUUUGCUACCUGAUACUAUUCUAGAAAAUAACAAAAGUAACGACACAAAGGAGCUGCCUAAGGCUAAUAAAAACUAGAACAUCUAACAAAAUAACUUAAAUCAUAUAUUGAAAAUGCCUUUAGAGACUAGUAUCUGAAACAGAACCAACACCACCAUUGAUGGGCGAGCAACCACAUGCACUUGAAAUAAGCAUUUGAAAUGAAUCAUCAAAUAUAGAUCGUGGGAACCCUCCAAAGUUGCAUAUAUCAAAGCUCAGCGGUGAGAAAGACUCCUCGAAGCUUGUCUUCCCAUCCAUGACACAAGGCUGUGAGGUUUCUUGAUUAGCAUUUGCUGCAGAACCAAGACUGAAACUAACCAUUGCUGCGUUGUUGUUACUGUUCCCGCAACCAGAGCUCCCUCUCUGAGAAGAUGCAGCAGCAGAAGGUUUUGUGUCUUCAAGUGGGAUCGCAGGAGUGUGUCCCUGGAACAGAGCAAUGUGACCG